rnacentral:rRNA from 1 species
UACGAGGGGGGCAAGUGUUGUUCGGAAUUAUUGGGCGUAAAGAGCGUGUAGGCGGCCAAGUAGGUCAGCUGUGAAAACUCGAGGCUCAACCUCGAGACGUCGGUUGAAACCGUUUGGCUAGAGUCCGGAAGAGGAGAGUGGAAUUCCCGGUGUAGCGGUGAAAUGCGCAGAUAUCGGGAAGAACACCCGUGGCGAAGGCGGCUCUCUGGGACGGUACUGACGCUGAGACGCGAAAGCGUGGGGAGCGAACAGG